rnacentral:rRNA from 1 species
AACGAACGCUGGCGGCGUGCCUAAGACAUGCAAGUCGCGCGAGAAAAGGGCUUCGGCCCCCAGUAGAGCGGCGCACGGGUGAGUAACGCGUGGGUAAGUCUGCCUCCGGGUCCGGGAUAACCUCGGGAAACGUGGGGCUAAUACCGGAUGAGACCACGAGGUCCUCGGGCCUCGCGGGAAAAGGUGGCCUCUUCAUGAAAGCUUUCGCCUGGAGAUGAGCCCGCGUCCCAUUAGCUAGUUGGUGAGGAACGGCUCACCAAGGCUCCGAUGGGUAGCUGGUCUGAGAGGACGACCAGCCACACUGGAACUGAGACACGGUCCAGACUCCUACGGGAGGC